GGAAGAGCAAAGGGAAAUGAGUUCUGGCAGUAGCGGCAGUGUGGAGCAGCUGAAUCAGCAGGAACAACAUUGCUGCAUAUCUCACGAGUUUCUCAGAGCAGCAACCAGAAACCCUACAAAAAUCGCGGCGAUACACGCCGCACCAUCAGUUGAUGGUCAGCGCCAGAUUGCCGGAGAAUUGAUCAACCCUGGAAGCUCAGUCUCCUCCGUCUCCUCUUCUUCUUUUAGUUCGCUGGUGUAUGAAGGAGACAAAUGUUUCACUUAUGGUGACUUGUUGAAGUCCGUUGAUUUCCUUAGCUCUCGCCUCCGCGUUGUUCUCGAUGGUGCUGAUGCAUCCCGCCUUUACAAAACACAAUCCUCAUCAGGUAAGGGUAAUUACGGCGGGCAGAGCACAUGUGAUGUAUCCAAGUCCUCCACAUCAUUUAUAACAAGAGUGGAGCAAGUGGAUGAGUGUAAGAAUGUGUAUAGGCCAAAAAUAUUGGGAAUAUAUAUGCCACCUUCUGUGGAGUACAUAAUCUCUGUUUUUUCAGUUCUGAGGUGUGGAGAGGCUUUCUUGCCUCUUGAUCCUUCAUGGCCAAAAGAUAGAAUAUUAUCUAUUGUUUCUUCUUCAGAUUGUGAUCUUAUUAUUACUUCUGAAUCAUCAUGUGAUAAAGGCAUUUUUAAUGAGCUUAAUAACUUGAAUUGGCUUGUCAAAUGUAGUAGUUGUCCUGUCUUAUGUUUUUCCGUGGAAGAAGCCCUUGAAGAGUGUGUUGGUCCACUACAGAUAACUUGGCCUUGUGAAAAAAGGGAAAAAAGGUUGUUCUGUUAUUUACUGUAUACGUCUGGAUCAACUGGAAAGCCUAAGGGCGUGUGUGGCACAGAACAAGGGCUAUUAAAUCGCUUUCUGUGGAUGCAAGAGUUGUAUCCACUGCAUGAACAGGAAGUCUUAUUGUUCAAAACUUCAAUAAGUUUUAUUGAUCACCUGCAAGAAUUUCUUGGUGCUAUGCUUGGUGCAUGUACACUGGUUAUACCUCCUUUCACUCAGCUGAAAAAAGAUCCAUUUUCUGUUGUCAAUUUUCUACAGGCGUACUGUAUAAAUAGGCUUAUCGCUGUUCCUUCACUGAUGCGAGCAAUCCUUCCUGCUUUGCAAAGUCAUCAAUAUAAAAUGCAGAUCCAGGAUUCGUUGAAGUUGCUAGUGCUAAGUGGUGAAGUAUUUCCUUUAUCCUUGUGGGAUGUGCUUUCCAAUUUACUACCUGGGACCUCCAUUUUGAAUUUAUAUGGGAGUACAGAGGUAUCUGGUGAUUGUACAUAUUUUGAUUGCAAGAGGUUGCCUCAGAUUUUGGAGACAGAGGCACUAACAAGUGUUCCGAUUGGUGUGCCUAUUUCUAACUGUGAUGUAGUACUGGUUGGUGAAACUGAUCCAGCCAAUCAGGGAGAGGUAUGUGUUGGUGGUCUCUGUGUUUGUACCGGUUACUUUUCUGAUUCUGCUAUGUUGUCUUUUGACUCUGUAAAAGUGCAUAAAACCCUCAUUUGCAACUGUUUGGUGGAUGACUGUGGGAGUCAAGUUUAUUACAGAACUGGUGAUUUUGCACAACGGCUUCAAUGUGGUGACUUGGUAUUCUUGGGGCGAACUGAUCGCAGUAUAAAAGUUCAUGGGCAACGUAUAGCCUUAGAAGAGAUUGAAAUUACACUCAGGGAACAUCCUGAUGUUGUUGAUGCUGCUGUGAUUUCUUCUGAAGGUCCAGGGGGGCUUUUGCUCCUUGAGGCUUUUUUGUUGUUAAAAGAUGAGGAGAAAUCUGGUGAUUCAGUACGAUCUUCAAUUAGAAGUUGGAUGGUUGGAAAAGUUCCUUUAGUUAUGAUUCCUAACCGCUUUGUAUUUACAGAAUCAUUGCCUAUCUCUUCCAGUGGAAAAGUUGAUUAUGCCUUGUUGGCAACUUCAGCAUUUUUCAAUGUGAAUGUUAAAGAUAAGAUUUGCAACACUGAGAUCAGUGACCACCUGCAUAUCAUAAAAAAGGCAUUUUGUGAUGCUUUAAUGGUGGAAGAUGUUUCUGAUGAUGAUGAUUUCUUUAUGUUGGGUGGUAGUUCCAUUACUGCAGCACAGGUUUCUUAUAAUCUAGGAAUUGAUAUGAGAUUACUUUAUAACUUUCCUACUCCGUCUAAGCUUCGCAAUGCUCUGCUACAUAAGAGGGCAUCUUACAAAGAUGUCAGAACUGAAAUUAGUUGGAAAUCGAAUCUGAAAGCACAUAGCUGGAAUAUGUCUUAUUCUGUUAAUUCCUCUGUUCCUAAUACUGGCCUUAAAAAACAGAAGAACUUUCAUCAAAAUAAUGAUCACAUUGUUGCAGUAUCCAAGCCCUUUAAGGUUAAUUUGGACAAUCACAUUUCUUCAAAACGUGUUAGUCUCAGAGGCGGAUAUCCUUGGUCUUCUGUGAUACCAAUCUCAUGUUCAUUCAGCCGAUGCAACAAGGUUAUGUAUGAAGAGGAGUGCAGUUUGAGAAAUACCCAUCAAUUAACUUGGUCUGCAGAAGUUCCGAGAAACAGAAAAGGUUCUUCAAUGCAGGACUUGUGGAAGGUUCAGAUGGAGUCUUGUGUAGACGCAUCACCACUAAUUGUAUUUAAAGACCAAGAUGUCUAUUUGUUUAUUGGAUCUCAUUCGCAUAAGUUUACUUGUGUUAACGCCAAAAGCGGUGCUAUCCAGUGGGAGGUCAAACUACAGGGACGAGUUGAAUGUUCAGCAGCAAUUGUUGCUGACUUUUCUCAGGUUGUAGUCGGAUGCUACAAAGGGAAAAUAUAUUUUCUUGAUUUUUUCAAUGGCAAUAUUUGUUGGACUUUCCAAACAUGUGCUGAGGUGAAGUGCCAACCAGUUGUGGAUAUACACAGAAAAUUAAUCUGGUGUGGCUCUCAUGACCAGUAUCUAUACGCACUUGACUACAGAAAUUGUUGCUGUAUCUAUAAACUCUCAUGUGGUGGAAGUGUAUUUGGGUCACCUGCAAUUGAUGAGAUGCAUGAAACACUUUAUGUGGCUUCUACCAGUGGUCGUGUGACAGCCGUAUCAAUAAAGGUAUGACACAAUGCAAGUUGCAACUUUAUCCUUCUCUUUUCUUUCUCUCUCCUAUAUGUGGGUAAGAUUUCACCAAGAUUGCUGCAACUAUAUCCAGUUGUCUUUAUCUUUGAGCUGAUGCCUAAACCUAAACAGCCAGAUUGCUUUGUUUGUCAAUUUCGUAUAGUAAAGCACGUGUUUCUAGAACAAGUGCUUCAGGUUUGGGUUAUUUUAAUUUAGAUUUGCUUAUAAACGGGAUUGUAAUUGUGGCUUUUGACUAUAGUUGAAUGCAGAAACUUGAAAGGUUCUGGAAGCCACGUCAAUCAUUAUGUUUAAUUUUGGUAUGACAGGGAGACCUAUUGAAAAGGCAUUAUUUAAAAAUCUUUACCAGAAAGGAAAAAGAAAGGGAAAAAAACGCUACAAAACUUGGGCUUUAGGCUAAAAUCUUGCAAAUCAAAGAAAAUAUAGUGCAGGCAGAAGAAAUAUUUGCAAAUCACUAUUUUAAUGUGUUCUUUACUGCUGCCAUUGCUAACCAUCAUUGUGUCUAGCAUUCCAUCACUACCACUUGUUACAACAAUGCAUUUGCUGUUUGUUGGGCUAAAGUUGAGUGGAGUUGAGAUCAUUAUGUUGCUUGAAGACUUAGUACAGUUGACAAUAACCUGAGUUGGGCUCUUUUAUAAAAGGUCAAUCAUAUCUUGAAGACAUCAUUAUAAUUGAGCUCAAGCAUAAUACCAAGCUUGAGUUGUUGAAUGUAACUUGACUUGAAGUACCUUAUUAACUUUUGUAUGAAUUUUACUUGUUUAUCAAUAGCAUUAUGUAUUUUUCUUUUUGAAAUUAGCAACACAUAGUUUAUAUUUACUUAUUUCCUGUAUAUCUUUUAAAUUUAUCCUAUCUUUAUUAAGUUUAUUGAACCUAUCGCCAGGCUUAUUAACUUUAAGUUGCUCUCAUAUUAAUCUUUUCAUUUUUUAACCCAGAAGCUGAAGUUGAGCUCAUUUGCAGCCCUGUUGUCUGACAAUAAUUUGGGGAAAGUACAAAAAAUUGCCCUGAGGUUUGGCGCUUUAGGACUUAAGGGCUAGUGGUUUAAUUUUUGAUAAAAUGGUACAUUGAGCUUUACUAUGUUAGCACUUUAAGGAUGUUGGAAUAUAUGGCUUGUGAGAACAAGUCCCACUCGGCAGUAUACAGGAAAAUUAAAGGGCAUAUAAGUGU
rnacentral:misc_RNA from 1 species